UGCUUAUCUUACUUGCCAAUUAGUGGGGGAUAACUCUGGUGCGCCAGAACUAAUACCGCAUUUGUUGCUUCGGCAAUGAAAGGGAAUCGCAAGAUUUUCGCUAAUUGAUAGGGAUAAGUCGUAUUAGUUUGUUGGUGGGGUAAUGGCCUACCAAGACGAUGAUGCGUAGCCGGGCUGAGAGGCUGAUCGGCCACAAGGGAACUGAGACACGGUCCCUACUCCUACGGGAGGCAGCAGUGAGGAAUUUUCGGCAAUGGGGGAAACCCUGACCGAGCAAUACUACGUGAAGGAGGAAGGUCUACGGAUUGUAAACUUCUGUUAGUGCGGAAGAAGGGCUGAAUGCAAGUUCAGCCUUGACGGUACGCACAGAGAAAGCCACGACUAACUACGUGCCAGCAGUCGCGGUAAGACGUAGGUGGCGAACGUUAUCCGGAAUUAUUGGGCGUAAAGGGUGCGUAGGCGGCGGAAUAAGUUAGUGGUGGAAAAUCGGGGCUCAACCUCGUGGAAGUCAUUAAUACUGUUUUGCUAGAGGACAGGAGAGGUUAACGGAAUUCCCUGUGGAGCGGUAAAAUGUGUAGAUAUAGGGAAGAACACCAAUAAGGCGAAGGCAGUUAACUAUUCUGUUCCUGACGUUGAGGCACGAAAGCGUGGGGAGCAAAUAGGAUUAGAUACCCUAGUAGUCCACGCCCUAAACGAUGAGUGCUAGACAUUGGAAACUUGAUUUUCAGUGUCGCUAGAUAACUCGGUAAGCACUCCGCCUGGGUAGUACGCUCGCAAGAGUGAAACUCAAAGGAAUUGACGGGGACUCGCACAAGCACUGGAGCAUGUGGUUUAAUCCGAUGCAACGCGUAGAACCUUACCAAGGCUUGACAUGUUUGGCAAAACUGUGGAAACACAGCGGAGGUUAUCCAAACACAGGUGCUGCAUGGCCGUCGUCAGUUCGUGCCGUGAGGUGUAUGGUUAAGUCCUAUAACGAACGCAACCCUUGGGCUUAGUUGCCAGCAUUCAGUUGGGGACUCUAGGCCGACUGCCUGAGUAAUCAGGAGGAAGGAAAGGAUCACGUU
rnacentral:rRNA from 1 species